rnacentral:pre_miRNA from 10 species
CUCUCCUGGCCCAUGAAAUCAAGUGUGGGUGAGACCUGGUGCAGAACGGGAAGGCGACCCAUACUUGGUUUCAGAGGCUGUGAGAA